AAAACUUCAAAUUAACCUACAUAUAUGUUACCCCCACCAACCCCCUUUCAUUUAUCAGCACCACCGCAGUGACCCCGUGGUCAACCUUGUCACCAUCUUUGCCAUCCUUGCUGUUCAACAAACUCUAAUGACUGAAGAAAACAUGCAAAUACAUCUACUUGGGCUGAGACAUAAUUGUUUAUUUACAUAACUAUGACAAAGCUUAAGUAAACAUCUAGUAGAUUAUAACUCAACCUACCACAAUCAAGUUUUGUUAGCAAAUGUAAUUGAAAAGAGGUAUUUACGGAAAUACAUUAUAUAAACUAUCAUUGUAAAACUAAGCUAUGAAGUAUAAACAAAGAACUUGAAUUACCUGUAAAAUGGUUGUAAAGAAGUUAGUGUGUUAACCCUUGAAAAUCUCAUAUGGAAAGUCUGAUAAAGGAGCAAAAUG
rnacentral:lncRNA from 1 species